CCUACGGGUGGCAGCAGUGGGGAAUAUUGGGCAAUGGAGGCAACUCUGACCCAGCAACGCCGCGUGAAUGAUGAAGGUCUUCGGAUUGUAAAGUUCUGUGAUUGGGGAUGCACACUAUGACGGUACCCCAAUAGCAAGCCACGGCUAACUACGUGCCAGCAGCCGCGGUAAUACGUAGGUGGCAAGCGUUAUCCGGAAUGACUGGGGGUAAAGGGUGCGUAGGUGGUUUGGUAAGGUGGCGGUGUAAUGCCGGGGCGCAACCCCGGCGCUACCGCCAAAACUAUUAGACUAGAGUGCAGGAGGGGUAAGUGGAAUUCCUAGUGUAGCGGUGGAAUGCGUAGAUAUUAGGCGGAACAUCAGGUGCGAAGGCGACAUACUGGACUGUAACUGACACUGAGGCACGAAAGCGUGGGGAGCAAACAGGAUUAGAUACCCCUGUAGUC
rnacentral:rRNA from 1 species